rnacentral:rRNA from 1 species
GCAGUCGAGCGAUGACGAGGAGCUUGCUCCUCUGAUUUAGCGGCGGACGGGUGAGUAACACGUGGGUAAUCUGCCUGUAAGACGGGGAUAACUCCGGGAAACCGGGGCUAAUACCGGAUAAUAAGAAGAAACGCAUGUUUCUUUUUUGAAAGUCGGCAUCUCGCUGACACUUACAGAUGAGCCCGCGGCGCAUUAGCUAGUUGGUGAGGUAACGGCUCACCAAGGCGACGAUGCGUAGCCGACCUGAGAGGGUGAUCGGCCACACUGGGACUGAGACACGGCCCAAACUCCUACGGGAGGCAGCAGUAGGGAAUCUUCGGCAAUGGGCGAAAGCCUGACCGAGCAACGCCGCGUGAGCGAUGAAGGCCUUCGGGUCGUAAAGCUCUGUUGUUAGAGAAGAACAAGUACGAGAGUAACUGCUCGUACCUUGACGGUACCUAACCAGAAAGCCACGGCUAACUACGUGCCAGCAGCCGCGGUAAUACGUAGGUGGCAAGCGUUAUCCGGAAUUAUUGGGCGUAAAGCGCGCGCAGGCGGUCUCUUAAGUCUGAUGUGAAAGCCCACGGCUCAACCGUGGAGG